ACGAAACGCCCCUCUCCUCGCGAUCCCGCUCCGCGCUCGCGUAGUCUCUAACGAUUCCUCCGCGUAACCCCUAACAUUCUUCCGCUCCGCGCUCCACUGCAGCGCGACCCCCGAUAUUCUUCCGUCCCGAUCCUCCUUCUAUAAGAACCCCCUCGUACGACCCCUUCUUCUGAUCUUCUUUCUCUUUCUUUCCUUAAUCGAUUCGUAAACUGUUACCAGGAUAGUGUCAAGUCCGUUGAUAUUGCCGUUGGAACGGAUCGUACGAACUGCGCAGGCGGUACGAACGGUUUAAUCUGCAACAUCGGUAACAUCUGCUUAAUCGGUGGCACGCCCGUCACAAAUAUGAUGUAAGCAGUUUCAGUGUCAAUGAAUCAGAUCAUAUAUUUCAUAUAAUGUCUAAAGUUCUCAUUCUUAUUUCUAGCUGAUGAUGAUAUUCUGAACACAUUAUCUAAUCUUGUGCUUUCUGCUUGUUGCAGUUUGCUUUUUCAUUGAUGAAAAUCAAGUGCUAGAGAUUGCUGAAUAAGACACUGAAUGAAUCUUUUCUUAGACUCUGAUAUAUACUUUCUGAAAAUGCUUUUUAUAUGAUUAAGAUGACAGUCUUUGCUCUGUAAAUUCUCAAAGAAUUCUUUGACUAUAUUGUGGAAACUAUAUUUCAAAAAUUGAUAGAUGUUGUUGAGAUUUUCUUUUAUCUUCUGCAAAAGAUGCUGAGCUCAAUAUAAGAAAGAGGAA
rnacentral:sRNA from 2 species